rnacentral:rRNA from 1 species
CCUACGGGAGGCUGCAGUGAGGAAUAUUGGUCAAUGGCCGGAAGGCUGAACCAGCCAUGCCGCGUGAAGGUCAGUGCCCUAUGGGCGUUAAACUUCUUUUGUGCGGGAGCAAUAAUGGUCACGUGUGGCCAGACGAGAGUACCGUACGAAUAAGCAUCGGCUAACUCCGUGCCAGCAGCCGCGGUAAUACGGGGGAUGCAAGCGUUAUCCGGAUUUAUUGGGUUUAAAGGGUGCGUAGGCGGUAUGUCAAGUCAAGGGUGAAAUCCCCGCGCUCAACGUGGGAACUGCCUUUGAAACUGGCAAACUGGAGUGUGUGAGAGGAUAGUGGAAUUCCAGGUGUAGGAGUGAAAUCCGUAGAUAUCUGGAGGAACAUCAGUGGCGAAGGCGACUAUCUGGCACAUAACUGACGCUGAGGAGCGAAAGCGUGGGUAGCAAACAGGAUUAGAUACCCGAGUAGUC